rnacentral:rRNA from 1 species
AGGGAAUCUUCCGCAAUGGGCGCAAGCCUGACGGAGCAACGCCGCGUGAGUGAUGAAGGCCUUCGGGUUGUAAACUCUGUCUUCUGUGAAGAACAAGCCUAUGAAGAGAAUGCUUAGGCCCUGACGGUAACAGAGGAGGAAGCCCCGGCUAACUACGUGCCAGCAGCCGCGGUAAUACGUAGGGGGCAAGCGUUGUCCGGAAUCACUGGGCGUAAAGCGCGCGCAGGAGGCCAUUUGCGUCCGGGGUGAAAGCCCAGAGCUCAACUCUGGGACUGCCUUGGAUACGGGAUGGCUUGAGGAUCGGAGAGGCAAGGGGAAUUCCACGUGUAGCGGUGAAAUGCGUAGAGAUGUGGAGGAACACCUGUGGCGAAGGCGCCUUGCUGGCCGAUUUCUGACGCUGAGGCGCGAAAGCGUGGGGAGCAAAC